rnacentral:rRNA from 1 species
AUUGAACGCUGGCGGCAGGCCUAACACAUGCAAGUCGAGCGGUAGAGAGAAGCUUGCUUCUCUUGAGAGCGGCGGACGGGUGAGUAAUGCCUAGGAAUCUGCCUGGUAGUGGGGGAUAACGUUCGGAAACGGACGCUAAUACCGCAUACGUCCUACGGGAGAAAGCAGGGGACCUUCGGGCCUUGCGCUAUCAGAUGAGCCUAGGUCGGAUUAGCUAGUUGGUGAGGUAAUGGCUCACCAAGGCGACGAUCCGUAACUGGUCUGAGAGGAUGAUCAGUCACACGGGAACUGAGACACGGUCCAGACUCUUACGGGAGGCAGCAGUGGGGAAUAUUGGACAAUGGGCGAAAGCCUGAUCCAGCCAUGCCGCGUGUGUGAAGAAGGUCUUCGGAUUGUAAAGCACUUUAAGUUGGGAGGAAGGGUUGUAGAUUAAUACUCUGCAAUUUUGACGUUACCGACAGAAUAAGCACCGGCUAACUCUGUGCCAGCCGCCGCCGUAA